rnacentral:lncRNA from 1 species
CUACACUGAGUUCUGGAGAUUUAUUUUGAAAACUUGCAAAUCACAUGAUGAGUUACUAGCAUUACAAACUUCCUACCACAGCCAUACUUGCUAUAACAUCUUUUACUAUAUUCACAUUGAGUUUGAUCGAGCUGUGUAGACCCUUAGGAGCUUUUCAUGUGGUUAAAUUAAGAUAUUCACUUGCACACAUCCACUACACCAUUCACCACUAUGCAUUAAAAUUGCUAAAAAUAAUAUUAUCACUCACUGUCCCUAAUGUUGUUAUUCUCUCUCUCUAAAAAGAUUCGAUGCAGAAGAGGCAUGGGUUAUGCAAAAAUACGCAAGGAAAUAAAAAGGGGCAAGUGCCCGGAACCUCGAAAAAGAAAGAAAAAGAGUGAGAUGAGAGGUAAAAAUGGACAAGUGUCCGGAGUAGAAUUAGGGGGUACAAAAAUGCCCACUUGAGCGGAAAAAAUGGACAAGUGUCCGACUAUAGAAUUAGGGGUAUCUACUACCCACCUGGAAAAAAAGAGAGAAGAAAAAGAUAGCCCAUGUUCUCCCAAAGCAAAGAUCAAAGAAGAGGAGAGAUAGCAAUAUGAGGAGGAAUGAGAAGUAAGUUUUAUUAUCACUUAUACAUUUUCAUCAUUUACUCCACCACAC